CUGGAGCUGCCCGUUCAUGGAAACUUCGGCCAAAAAUAAAGGCUCGGUCGACGAGCUGUUCGCGGAGAUCGUGCGACAGAUGAACUACUCGUCUGUCCCCAGCGGCGGCGACAAGUGCUGCUCGUGUGUCCUGUUCUGAAAAGUCAACAACAACAACAACAACAACAAACAAACAAACAGAGAACAGUUUGAGUUCAUAACUUUUAAUUUGGGGCAAAAGUAUUCUCUCUCCUCACACUGUUGUCUUAUUGUUGCCCACAAGCGGGGGAGAAUCGACAACAACAAUCGAUUAUAAUGUAUAAUAGUCUGGAAACGUGUUUACAUGACGAAGUACUUGAAUGUUUUUGGGGAUUUUCUUUCUUGUCGUUGUUUUUAAAUAGCUUUGUAUAUGACACUUCUCUGGAAAUGUGCCUCAAUGGGAAUGUCUUAUUGUGAAAACCUAAGAGACGCGUGAUUUCCGUUUCUUUCUCUCUCUCGCUCUCUCUCUCUCUCUCUCUCUCUGGUCCGAUGGAAGUGGAUUUAUCAUGGAACUUGCACUUAGCUGACGGUGUCCCUCCUCAGUGUGCACAAACGAGGACCUUGGUGCGUUGCUGUCGCUGCGUGGGGAACGCCACGGCCCCAUGUCAAGUGCCUUCCUCAGAAUACUCCUGUGACUGUGCCAACAGAUGAGCCCUAACUUCCUCUGCAGUGCGUCUUGAUGGCAAUCAGAACUUCUUCUUCUUCUUCUUGUUCUUCUUCUUGUCCUCUUUACUCUGACCUGCUGACCGACAUCUCUGUCACUCGUGAAGGUAAUUCAUUACCUCCUGGAAAUGUAUGUAUUCUAAGUCUAAUUGUUCUUAUAUGCUUUGUCUUGUUGUUCUAUACAAUUAUAUUCUAUUUAAUUCCAUUUUAUAUUACUCUUAUUCUUUUUUACUGAAUUCUUGUCUUAUCUUGUCCACAAGACCACCUGAUUAAACCGAGCUUAACAUAGCAUCAUUUUCAAGACAAGGUGACGACAACACACACCAAAACACAACUGUACCUACCGGUGGUCGCUUGCUUCAGCUCCGCUAACUGUUUUUCUGCAUUUUUUAUUUUGGCCUCCAGAAGUCUUCGUUUCUGGCCACAGGGAGAAGCUCGGAUGAGGCUGGAGACCUGAAGACCUGAGCCACACCCAGGUAGAGGUGGCAUGAAGUCAGCAGAGCCACUGCAGUCUUCAUCUUUGAUGGAUUGGUGUUCGCUGUUCAGUUCAGUUCAUCUAUUUAUCCCACCCCAAUCAGGUCACGCCCAGACCUGUUUCUACUGCUUUCAUGACAGAAGUUGUUUUGUUUGUUGAACCCAAGUCAACCUUGUCGAAGGACGUUGAGGUGCAAACUGGCUAUCUCUUUUUCUACAAAGACACCACAUAUUACUGCAUUAUAAUUUACAUGAAUAUCAAAACCAGUAUCCAUUUCCCCCUAUAACCUCCUCAGAACCCGCAAAACAAUAUGCAAAAUUAGAGAGUGAAAGGAAGAUUAG
rnacentral:lncRNA from 1 species